AGCGAACGCUGGCGGCAGGCCUAACACAUGCAAGUCGAACGGAUCCUUCGGGAUUAGUGGCGGACGGGUGAGUAACACGUGGGAACGUGCCCUUUGGUUCGGAACAACUCAGGGAAACUUGAGCUAAUACCGGAUGUGCCCUUCGGGGGAAAGAUUUAUCGCCAUUGGAGCGGCCCGCGUCUGAUUAGCUAGUUGGUGAGGUAAAGGCUCACCAAGGCGACGAUCAGUAGCUGGUCUGAGAGGAUGAUCAGCCACAUUGGGACUGAGACACGGCCCAGACUCCUACGGGAGGCAGCAGUGGGGAAUCUUGCGCAAUGGGCGAAAGCCUGACGCAGCCAUGCCGCGUGAAUGAUGAAGGUCUUAGGAUUGUAAAAUUCUUUUACCAGGGACGAUAAUGACGGUACCUGGAGAAAAAGCCCCGGCUAACUCCGUGCCAGCCGCCGCCGUAACAC
rnacentral:rRNA from 1 species